rnacentral:rRNA from 1 species
GGGGAUAACUACUGGAAACGGUAGCUAAUACCGCAUAACGUCGCAAGACCAAAGAGGGGGACCUUCGGGCCUCUUGCCAUCGGAUGUGCCCAGAUGGGAUUAGCUUGUUGGUGGGGUAACGGCUCACCAAGGCGACGAUCCCUAGCUGGUCUGAGAGGAUGACCAGCCACACUGGAACUGAGACACGGUCCAGACUCCUACGGGAGGCAGCAGUGGGGAAUAUUGCACAAUGGGCGCAAGCCUGAUGCAGCCAUGCCGCGUGUAUGAAGAAGGCCUUCGGGUUGUAAAGUACUUUCAGCGGGGAGGAAGGGAGUAAAGUUAAUACCUUUACUCAUUGACGUUACCCGCAGAAGAAGCACCGGCUAACUCCGUGCCAGCAGCCGCGGUAAUACGGAGGGUGCAAGCGUUAAUCGGAAUUACUGGGCGUAAAGCGCACGCAGGCGGUUUGUUAAGUCAGAUGUGAAAUCCCCGGGCUCAACCUGGGAACUGCAUCUGAUACUGGCAAGCUUGAGUCUCGUAGAGGGGGGUAGAAUUCCAGGUGUAGCGGUGAAAUGCGUAGAGAUCUGGAGGAAUACCGAUGGCGAAGGCGGCCCCCUGGACGAAGACUGACGCUCAGGUGCGAAAGCGUGGGGAGCAAACAGGAUUAGAUACCCU